GACGAACGCUGGCGGCGUGCUUAACACAUGCAAGUCGAACGGAAAGGCCCUGCUUGCAGGGUGCUCGAGUGGCGAACGGGUGAGUAACACGUGGGUGAUCUGCCCCUUACUUUGGGAUAAGCCUGGGAAACUGGGUCUAAUACUGGAUAGGACCAUGCUGUAGGUGGUGUGGUGGAAAGAUUAGUUUCGGUAAGGGAUGAGCUCGCGGCCUAUCAGCUUGUUGGUGGGGUAAUGGCCUACCAAGGCGUCGACGGGUAGCCGGCCUGAGAGGGUGGACGGCCACAUUGGGACUGAGAUACAGCCCAGACUCCUACGGGAGGCAGCAGUGGGGAAUAUUGCACAAUGGGCGCAAGCCUGAUGCAGCGACGCCGCGUGGGGGAUGACGGCCUUCGGGUUGUAAACUCCUUUCAGCCAUGACGAAGCCCUUGUGGUGACGGUAGUGGUAGAAGAAGCACCGGCUAACUACGUG
rnacentral:rRNA from 1 species